UGCCUCGCUGCAGAGAAGCCGCUCCGAGGAGAGGAGCGGUGCUCGAAUCUCGCCUUCCCAUCUCCUCCACCACUUGCACUUGGAACUUUUCUUAGCCUCACUACCCAGGGGAUUUCAUCCGGUUUUCUUUUUUUUUUUUUUUAAUUCUGUCCCCUCCCCGGGGCCCCAAAUGCCACCCUGCAAUCAAUGUGAUGGAAGAAUGUGGCACUUGAAACAGCUGCAUCCACCUUGUGACCAUGAGGGAGUCCACACACCUGGGAUGACAAGUCUGUUUGCCCACGCCUGUGAAUCUGAGCUGGACCUGUGUCUUGCUUUGAUCAGUGAAACGUGCCAGAAAUGAUGGUAUGUGAUUUCUGAAGCUACACCUCGAGAGGCCUUGCAGCUCCCUCUUUUACCCUCUUGAAACUUCACCCUAAGAACACAUAGCCUACUGGAGGAUGAGAAACCACCUGGAAGAGAAACAAGGUGCCCAGCCCACGGCCAGCACCAACUGCCAUUCACGUGAGCAAGGCUCUCCCUCCCAGCCCGGCUGACCCUUCAACAGGAUGCUCUUCUCGAACCACUAAACCCAGGUGAAACCAACCAAGAACAGCCCACUCCACCUGCAGAAUUGUGGGCAAUAAUAAAUCAUUUUACAUCAUUAAGUUUUAG